rnacentral:lncRNA from 1 species
UUGUGCGGAUCCAAAUCUAGUUUUAUCUUUAAUAUUAAAGUGAUAGUAAUAUACUAAUAUAAUAGAAAAGGCCUUGAGAAAAGUUUGGUCUAUCCGUCUAUGUAAGUGCCACAGAAACCGAAAGAGAUCUAACGUAAAAGUAAGAGAUAUUAGCUAACUAGUGAGAAAAGGAUUAGCGAAGACUGAUGAUAGUAUUAAUGAGAAAAGAAUUAGCGAAGACAUAAUUAUAACAAAAUUAAUAAUUGAUAUUACUAACAGAAAAG